UAUCACUUGAAUCAUUCUCCUGACUCUGAAAACAGCCUCUGGAAUUGAAAGUUCCUGUACACUCACUCCCCCUGAGCAUACGGAUUCUCUGGACAUGG
rnacentral:lncRNA from 1 species